CAGUCGCCGCGGUAAUACGUAGGGUGCGAGCGUUAAUCGGAAUUACUGGGCGUAAAGCGUGCGCAGGCGGUUUUGUAAGACAGGCGUGAAAUCCCAGGGCUCAACCUGGGAAUGGCGCUUGUGACUGCAAAGCUAGAGUGCGGCAGAGGGGGAUGGAAUUCCGCGUGGAGCGGUGAAAUGCGUUGAGAUCGGAAAGAACACCAACGGCGAAAGCACUCUGCUGGGCCGACACUGACACUGAGAGACGAAAGCUAGGGGAGCAAAUGGGAUUAGAUACCCCCGUAGUCCCUGUCUCUUAUAC
rnacentral:rRNA from 1 species